AAAGACAACAGAUUAUCUUUAGAAAUGUUCGCAAAAUUUUUGGUUUGGACACAAAAAACCAAGUGAAAAUAAUUCUGGAAAGACUGUUUACCUUUUUAUUUUCUGUCCCAAUCUAACCUAGUGGGUUCAAAAAGAAGAGACCGCGCUGGAAACAUGAGUGGAUUAAAAGGAUCAUCCCUUUUUGAAUUAAUAGUCGAAGUGGUAACCAGCUAGAAGUCGUAACCUGCUCGUAUGAAAGGAUUUCUUGGCGUGAAAUUGUUAAUUUUAUUCAACAACGCCAAGAAAUAAAGCUUGCUCAAGAAACAGAAAAGAAAGAGAAAGAUGAACAAUAUUCUGA
rnacentral:lncRNA from 1 species